rnacentral:lncRNA from 1 species
UUUAUGAGAAUGAGCGACACUGGUUCGUGAUACAGACUCAAUUUCUAAAUUUGCCUGUGUUUAUUUCGUUACUUGAUAAGGCGGAGUGAUUUUUCAAUUGGGUGGUAUGAAAACCACAUCGUUACUGUACUCAUCAAACAAAGAACAAGACCAACAGUUCCUAAAUCAAUCCAAGGGGCGUUUAUUUUCUCAGCUAAUUCACAAGAAAAUCAUAAAAACUCUUGUUUCUCCCUCUGCCUCAAAGAUGUUUCUUCUUCCUCAUCAUCAAAACCAUUUUCAAAAUUUAGCGAAUAAUUCAAUAGAGCGUAACGAAAUUUUUGUGCCGAUUCGAUCCAUUUUCGACGAAAUUGUAUUUUGUGGAUAAUUUGAGAAGUUAUUAGAUUCUUCGUUGUUGACCCAAAUUAGCAACGGCGAGGGAAGCUUUGGGUUCUUCGUUAUUGACCUAAAUCAACGUUGAGUUCUCUAGGAGACGGCAGAGGAGGAAGACAUCGCUGAAGAAAGCAACAUGAGAAAUAGAUGGAUUGAGUUCUUGAGCUCUUGCUUUAGAGAUCGAGAUGGAGUUGGAGUAGGUUUGGGUUAAAGUUAGUUGAGUCGAGUUUGGGUUUGGGCUUGGGUUAUAUUAUAGUGAUUGGGUGAUUUUUUAUGGGAAAAGUCUCAAAUAUGUCAUUGAACUUUUCGAAAAGGCUCAUUUAUCUGUUA